rnacentral:rRNA from 1 species
GACGAACGCUGGCGGCGUGCUUAACACAUGCAAGUCGAACGGUAAGGCCCUUCGGGGUACACGAGUGGCGAACGGGUGAGUAACACGUGGGUGAUCUGCCCUGCACUUCGGGAUAAGCCUGGGAAACUGGGUCUAAUACCGGAUAGGACCACUGCCUGCAUGGGUGGUGGUGGAAAGCUUUUGCGGUGUGGGAUGGGCCCGCGGCCUAUCAGCUUGUUGGUGGGGUGAUGGGCUACCAAGGCGACGACGGGUAGCCGGCCUGGGGGGGUGGCCGACCACACUGUGACUGAGAUACGACCCAGACUCCUACGGUAGGCAGCAGUGGGGAAUAUUGCACAAUGGGCGCAAGCCUGAUGCAGCGACGCCGCGUGAGGGAUGACGGCCUUCGGGUUGUAAACCUCUUUCAGCACCGACGAAGCGCAAGUGACGGUAGGUGCAGAAGAAGGACCGGCCAACUACGUGCCAGCCGCCGCAGUAA